rnacentral:ribozyme from 2 species
ACUCGACUAAGCGAGUAUAAACAGGCAUUAGGCUUAGAGCGUUCUCACGUUAUCUGAAUGAUGAUGUGAGAGGUUGCA